rfam:Gossypium arboreum cultivar AKA8401 contig_31305_7, whole genome shotgun sequence.
AACCCAUGGAGAGGGCACCUUCUCAAAAGGUCCCUGUAUCUCUCCCAUGCAUCGCAGAGUGUUUCUAAAUCCAUCUACACAAAAAAAGAGAUAUUAUUAUAUAAUUUGGCU